GCUGCUCAAACCUUCACACAUCUCUUCGUGGUGAGCAGUAGGCAACGAUCUAUGAUCGGCAGAGAUGUGAAG
rnacentral:ribozyme from 1 species